AAUUUAAAAGGUUAUUUAAAAGGUGAUGCCUGCCCAGUGAUUCUUCAACGGCCGCGGGAUCCUACACCGUGCAAAGGUAGCAUAAUCAUUUGUCAUCUAAAUAGUGACUAGUAUGAAUGGCCCAAUGAGGACUUUCCUGUCUCUUGUAACCAAUCAAUGAAACUGAUCUUUCAGUCCAAAAGCUGAAAUACUCACACAAGACGAAAAGACCCUGUGGAACUUUAAGUGCUAAUCAACACAUGACACAAACACUUUUAGUUGGGGCAACUUUGGAACAAAACAGAACUUCCAAUAAUAGACCACCUCUAACAAACCAAGGCCCACACGCCAAUGUUUGCCUCUUAUAUUGAUCCAGUAUUACUGAUCAAAGAAACAAGCUACCCCAGGGAUAACAGCGCCAUCCCCUCUUAGAGUCCCAAUCGACGAGCGGGGCUUACGACCUCGAUGUUGGAUCAGGGCCCCCAAACAGUGCAGCAGCUGUUAAAGGUUUGUUUGUUCAACAAUUAAUGCCCUACGUGAUCUGAUUCCAGACCGGA
rnacentral:rRNA from 1 species